AAAUUGAAGAGUUUGAUCAUGGCUCAGAUUGAACGCUGGCGGCAGGCCUAACACAUGCAAGUCGAGCGGUAGCACAGAGAGCUUGCUCUCGGGUGACGAGCGGCGGACGGGUGAGUAAUGUCUGGGAAACUGCCUGAUGGAGGGGGAUAACUACUGGAAACGGUAGCUAAUACCGCAUAACGUCGCAAGACCAAAGUGGGGGACCUUCGGGCCUCAUGCCAUCAGAUGUGCCCAGAUGGGAUUAGCUAGUAGGUGGGGUAACGGCUCACCUAGGCGACGAUCCCUAGCUGGUCUGAGAGGAUGACCAGCCACACUGGAACUGAGACACGGUCCAGACUCCUACGGGAGGCAGCAGUGGGGAAUAUUGCACAAUGGGCGCAAGCCUGAUGCAGCCAUGCCGCGUGUGUGAAGAAGGCCUUCGGGUUGUAAAGCA
rnacentral:rRNA from 5 species